AACGAACGCUGGCGGCAUGCCUAACACAUGCAAGUCGAACGAGACCUUCGGGUCUAGUGGCGCACGGGUGCGUAACGCGUGGGAACCUGCCCUUAGGUUCGUAAUAACUCCCCGAAAGGGGUGCUAAUACCGGAUAAUGUCUUCGGACCAAAGAUUUAUCGCCUUUGGAUGGGCCCGCGUUGGAUUAGCUAGUUGGUAGGGUAAAAGCCUACCAAGGCGACGAUCCAUAGCUGGUCUGAGAGGAUGAUCAGCCACACUGGGACUGAGACACGACCCAGACUCCUACGGGAGGCAGCAGUGGGGAAUAUUGGACAAUGGGCGAAAGCCUGAUCCAGCAAUGCCGCGUGAGUGAUGAAGGCCUUAGGGUUGUAAAGCUCUUUUACCCGGGAUGAUAAUGACAGUACCGGGAGAAUAAGCUCCGGCUAACUCCGUG
rnacentral:rRNA from 1 species